AAGAAAAAGAGGGAGCCAGGCAGAGCGUCCAGUUCUUUGAGAGUGCUGGGUGAAUCUGAGGGCAAUGCGAUUGGUUUUAACCAGCAUAAUUUAUUCAAGCCCAGAACUGUAGCUCUUCUGUCUGACUGCAGGAAUCCCACAGCCCCUCAUCUACUAAGGGCUGGCAUGGAGCACAAAUACUUCAAAACUACCAGCAGCCCUUUCUUCUCCUAUGGAACGUACUUGAAGCCUCACCCCCAAACAAUUGUCAGUUGCCAAAUUAAACUGCUGUCUCUUGGACUCCAUGGAAGCCAGCUAGUUCUGGGAGACCCUUAAGUUCACAGAGCACAGAUAAAGGCUAAGGAAGUGCUUGAGAAACCCAGGAUGAAUAAUGCACUUAUCCAAAACCAAGAAUGCUUUUCUAGUAACAGUUUCUCAAUAUUCACUUUUUGUGUUACUUAAAUCAGUCUAAAGGAGUUGCAUAUUUGCAACUAGGCUAGUCUUUGCUAGGCUGUGUAGGGAUGGAGUCAGGAAAGCCAAGGCGCAGCUUGAACUAAACUUGGCAAGGGAUACCAAGAAGAAAAAGGAUGGCUUCUACAGGUACCUCAACAAGAAAAGGAAAGUCCAGGACAGAGUACCCUGACAGUGAGUGACACAGACAAGCUGAUAACAACAGACGAGGAGAAGGCUGAGGUACUUAACAGCUUUUUUGCCUCGGUCUUCUCUGAUAACUGCUCACCACACAGCCUUCAAAUGUCUGGUUUGGUAGGAGAGGAUCCAGGAAGGAACGUCCCUCUCACUGUAAGCAAUGAUCAAGUUUGUUACCACCUGAGGAACAUGAACAUCCACAAGCCUCUGGGUCCCGAAGAGAUGUAUCUCAGAAUCCUGAGGAAACUGGCUGAUUUAGUUGCCAAGACACUCCUAGUGAUAUUUGAAAAGCUGUGGCAGUCAGGUGAAGUCUCUGGUGACUGGAAAAAAGGCAACAUCACAUCUAUUUUUAAGAAGAGUAAAAAGGAUGACCCCAUGAAUUACUGACCUGUUAGUCUCACCUCUGUGCUGGGGAAGAUCAUGGAGCAGAUCCUCCUGGAAGCUAUUCUUAGCCACAUGGAAAGCAGGGAGAUGAUACAGGAGAAUCAACAUGCCUUCACCAAGGGUCCUUGUGGCCCUCCUCUGAACCUAUUCCAACAGGUCUAUGUCUCUGUUGUGCUGGAGACCCCAGGCCUGGACGCAGCACUUCAGGUGGGACCUCAUGAGAGCAGAGCAGAGGGGGACAAUUACCCCCCUUGCCCUUUUGUUUGCCCCUUUUUUCAGGGGCAUGAGCUGCUGGCUCAUGUCGAACUUUUCAUCCACCAAUUCCCCCAAGUCCUUCAACACAGGGCAAUUCAAAAUAAUUUAUCCUUUUGCCUAGAACAAAGCAAGGAGUCUGAAAAUUGCCCCACUCAGUGUGUUAUUGGGAUUAACGCAGGAUUUGCUGUUAGCUGUUGCUACCAAGUGACUGGACUAAGGGCUACAUCCCUGGUGAAUAUUAGAUGUUGAGCUCCUAAAAUGGGCACUCGUUUUGAAUGGUGAUGACCUCUGUGCAAAAGGCAGGAAUCCAUAGAGAGGAGACUGACAAACAUCCUGCUGAGCCAGAUUGUCCUCUGCCUGAGAAAAGUGCCCUUCUCUGGGGACUCCUUGGACAAAACUCCUGAAAGUAUGUGUCUAUGCUCAUUUUUAUUCUAAAUAGAGCAAGAGGUCAUGCCUGUAUGAUGCCAUCAGAGGAAGUGUCUUUCCUCUUCCCUACUGAUAAACUCAGUGCAGUCAUGUGCGACGUGAUGUACAGAAGUUCAGUCCCCUCUCCUCCCUGUUGCAAUUCAACACCAUGUAUUCCAUCUUUAAGCACCCACCAAGUAUAGAGUAUGCCAGUCCAUGCUGCAAAACCACUUAAUUCAUGUUGUAUAAAAACUGUUUGUGAUAAUAACAUUUUUUUUCCCAUAUCCUGAAUGAAUAUUCUCUUUCCUGGGGAAAAAGCUGAAGGAAAUUUAUAUGGUACCUACACAGUGCAUCACAAAAUAGACAAUUCUGGUAUGAUUCUAUUAGAUCAAAUCUAUUAGAGACAGAGGAAGAAGGAACUCCAAAGAACAUAGGAAACACCCUACCAGGAUUGACAGGGGUCAGUGCAUCCAGGGGCUUGUGCUGUAAGUCUGGUUUCCUCCAGUCCCCACUCUUCAGACUCCUGGCCAUCUGGAACAGCUGUUAGGGGUGUUAGAAGGUAGUCAUACUUUUAGGGUACACUUCUAGGCCUACUGUCCUUGAAUUAUUCUAAUUUCUUUGGAACCUGCUAAUAGUGUCUACCUCUAACAUAGAAUCAUAGAAUCGCUAAAGUUGGAAAAGACCCCCAGGAUCAUCCAGUAUAACCAUUCGCCCUUCACCAAUUGUUCUCGCUAAACCAUGUCCCUCAACACAACAUCCAAACGCUCUUUGAACACCACCAGGGUCAGUGACUCCACCACCUCUCUGGGCAGCCCAUUCCAGUGCCUGACCACCCUUUCAGAGAAGUAGUAUUUCCUAAUGUCCAGCCUGAACCUUCCCUGGUGCAGCUUGAAGCCAUUCCCUCUAGUCCUAAAAUGCUUUGUGAUGGUAGACCUUGAAGAAGUCUGCUACUUUCCAUGUUAUGUGGAUUUCCCACAUUCAGGCUGGGGUUAUACACGUGCUUUGAAGGUGUUCUGCCUGGCUGUGACAAGCCACUGUACCUGUGAUCCCAUGUGAGCACAGAGACAUUGGGCUCCCAGGUGCUUUCAUUUCAGCAGGUAAAGCAUGGAUGGAUGGCUGCUGUCUGUAAGGUGAAGUGACAGACUUGGGAUUGUAUCUGGGAUUGCAAUUUUGCUUCUAGGAUUCUAAUUUCUACCUUGGGAUUUGAUCUCUCUCCAGGUUUCUCUCUGUUCCCAUUACUCUCUCUCUAAAGGUGAUGCCUUGUUUCCAACUAUUUUUUCAACAGGGAGCCAAUUAAAGAUUCCAACCUCAGCCAAUCAGUAGAGCCCUAAGAUUGUACAGAGUGGACCAUCAUGGGAAGGAAAGUGAGCAAGAAACAGUUAUAGCCAAUACGUUGCUAAUUAGGCCUGGCUGAGCCUCCUGCAACUUAAAGACUUGCUUAAUUCAGUAUUCCUUUAUUUUUGAUGGAAACAGGAUCAGCAUGCAAAUGCCAUUUGGUAUUCUAUUUUUCUGCAUUGACAGCAUAGCUACACAAAAAUAUUAUGACCUGCUGCUGCCAAAUGCAACUGAAUUAUUCCGAAGCACUCCUGAGCCCGUCUUUGUCACAGUCUCCUAUUUCAGUCCCUGUCAUGCACUGUGCCUAUCAUUCAUUAUAGUUGAUAGGCUUAGGGCAGAAAAGUGUCUCUUGUCUUGUUCUCUGGAGAAUUUCAUCUUGGCUGUCUCACCUUCAAUCACUGCUAAUAGCUCCGCUGGCACAAAUUCAGAGAGGAGCUGUGAGGAGACAAUGAAAAUAUUUCACAGGGCAUUUUAUAUUUUAAUAGCUAGUUUUAAAAAAUGAGUUUGCUGGAGCAGACCAAAAUGAAGAUUGCUAAGAGAGAUUUUUCUUACAAGCAUUUUAACUAAUUCUUUUUUAAUUGUUAUUAAUCUUGAAGCCUUCUGCAUCCUUUUCACUUUUUCUCCUAUGAACUGCUAUAGGGAUUGGGUUCUACUUUGAUCAACUAAUAACCAUUUAUCUGACAAACGUAUUAGGAUGAUUUACUGCUCAAUAUUACUAUGCUGGAGGAAAGAAUAAAAUAGCACCGGAACUUUACUGUGUUUCCGUAGGAUGCUUAUUCAAAUUUUGGCCUGCUGCCUCCACCUGUCUUUACAAUGGCAUUGUGGCUGUGCUUGCGGUAGGAACUCUGUCACAGCUCUCAUGUCCUGCAAAGGUCAUAGCAAAAGAGUGCAAUGAAGCUCAGCAUUUUGGCAGAAGCACAGUGGAUAACCCAAGUGAGAGUAGAACCAAUGUACUGUCUUUAAGCUUUUUAUGUUUUAUUUACUAUAGUUUUCUUCUGUAUACGAGAACUCCCAAUCUGGGUUUCUGAUCUCUGAUCAGCAGGCAG
ensembl:lncRNA